GUGCCAGCAGCCGCGGUAAAACGUAGGUGGCAAGCGUUAUCCGGAUUCACUGGGCGUAAAGCGAGUGCAGGUGGUUGUGUAAGUUGGAUGUGAAAUUUCCAGGCCUAACCUGGAAGGGUCAUUCAAUACUGCGCGACUUGAGGGCAGAAGAGGGGGGUGGAAUUGCCGGUGUAGUGGUGAAAUGCGUAGAUAUCGGCAGGAACACCUGUGGCGAAAGCGGCCCCCUGGUCUGCUCCUGACACUCAGACUCGAAAGCUAGGGUAGCGAACGGGAUUAGAAACCCCUGUAGUCC
rnacentral:rRNA from 1 species